CCUAAGCUUGAGCACUUAGUGAGUGUGGUCACCCCAGAUCUCUCAUUUUCACCUUUUGCGAUUGUUAAUUAACGUGGAGGGUCGUGCCUUGGUGCUGUGAAAAUAUACUGCUUAUCAAUAACCUUUUACCUAACGAUUUUAGCAUUUGUUGAUGAUCCUUGCCUGAAUCAAUUAUUACAGUGGGAAUUAGAAAAAGGAAAGCUGACUGCACAUCGACAGUGUAUGAGCCUGGAGAGGGUUCUCUCUCUUGUAGGAGAGGGGAACCACAUCUAAACAGUCAUGGCUGCAGAGAAGGAAUGUUCACAUUCAGGGUCUGGAACCUGCGGAAAAGUGAGCAAAAAUACUUUUUGAAUGAAGGAAACCACCUAUAUCUGCUCAAGCAAUACAGACAUUUAUUUUCAGUUUCCCCUUUCAAAGGAAAAAUGCCAGAUCCAUGAUAUCUUUCUUAAUAAAAAGAUUCCUGACAUAAAUGGUCCCUCUCCUGUAUUUUUCCUAGAAUGCUAAUUUGACAUUUGCGCCAAAGGUAAAUCAGUUUGUCUGGCUAUGGAGGGGAGGAAGUUGUCACUCCUGAUUGAUAACGAUGCACUGGAGUCUAAUCCCCAGCAAUUUGUGGCAUUUCCCAUCUGUUCCGAAUAUCACUCCAUUCUACUCUUAGCAUUAAAAUAUCCAAAUGUUCUGGAGACGUUUUUAAAGGAAGAGUUUGUUUCUACUGACAUACCCAAACUGGAGAAAUGAUUUUUUAAAAAAUUACAGUGAUUGAAACACACACACACUCCAGCACCAUUUCGUGUUACACUAAGGUACUCCUGGCAGAGUUUCUUGCUGAUGAUUUUAGCCACAGUCUGAGUAAUGUCUGCUUGCCUGCACGUUGUAAAGUGAUCUCCCUUUAUUAGAUGAAGUCUUGAAUGAAGGGUGGCGGGUACUGUGUCUUCUUAGUUCAAUAGCCCCUGUCUUUC